AACCAAACAUCCACUUCACAAGCGCAUGGCACAACAUAGAAGAGCCACCUCCACGGGACAGGACUCAGCAGUUCAUUUGCAUCUAAAGGACAAAGGUCACUCUUUCGAGGAUGCCAACAUCCACAUUUUGGACAGAGAGGACAGAUGGUUUGAAAGAGGAGUAAAGGAAGCCAUUUAUGUCCACUGUGAGCAACCAUCUUUGAACAGAGGCGGUGGUUUACAACACCAACUGUCUGCCAUCUAUAAUCCAGUUUUGAGAUCCCUUCCCAGAUGCCUCAACGCCCACGCAUAUCCUGGGCCAUCUGACCUCAGGAAUUCACAUGAUAGGGUGGGGCCAAGUUUCACAAUGAGCUCACCCGAAACUCUGGCUGAAUAGGACCCACACCCACCCUCAAUGUGUUUAUGUAGAAGAUCAUCAGGGGGUCUUUUGUUCCCUCUUCGGGGGGAAACUCCCACUGGGUUUAAAUCUGGGACUCUCCACCAUUUGACCUUAGAACUGAAGAAGCCUCUCGGAUGAGAGGUGAAACGUCUUCAAGUAACUCAAAGAAGUCCAGACGCUUUUCUUUCAAAGCUCAUUAGACUACAAUGACCUGGAUGACUGAGAACCUUCACAGACCUAGUUGACAGACAGCAUUACAGCGUGAAAUCCAGCUUGUGACCCGGUUCUGUGAGGAAUUCUGUUCAGGAGGUCGCAUUUCAGGCUCUCCACAUCAUAUAGCUAAAUCUACCCAAGACACUGGCUGUCAGACUGAUUUAGUAGUCUGCAAGAAUGCACUUGUCCAGGCUGACGUGAAGCCUUACACGUAGCAAAGCCACCCAGUUUAGAGCUCACAUUCUCAGUGUGUCUUGUGACACAAGGACCAUGACGGAAAUUCAUCUUCCAGAAAGUCGCAGAGCAGCGUCCACACCACUGAAAAGACAAAGAUGUGAGGUGUCUGCUGUUGAUUCCAGCUUCCACCUCAGUGACAGUGCAAGCUCAGUGAACUGUUCAAGGUAAAAAAAAAAUUAAAACAUUUAAGAAUUUUUAAGAUAUUAACAAUUAAAUAAGUAUGUGAUUACAUCAUGACAUCAUGAAGGAGGCUACUGAUUCUGCCCCUGUGACACUUGGUGGUGACGUGUGAGCUGAUUCACCUGGUAAAUAACUUUUACAUUAAAUAUUUUGUUCUUUGCUAUCAAAAGUAAAUUAACUAAUAACCUGCAUUAUUGCAGGACACUCAGCAAAAUAUGGACUCUACACCAUGAGGCAGGCACACGUUAAUACUCUAUAAGAGCACAUAAGCAUGAGGAUGUCCUCACACACCUGUAACCUAUCAGCUCAUCUGGCAGAAUAGAGAGAGAAGAGACAACACCACAUCUCCUGUUCCUGGAAAGCCUUCAGCCAUCCUUCGAUGACUGAGAACCUCCAUCAGCUCUGUCUCCUGUCUGCCUACAAUUAUUAUAAUAAAUAUUGUGUUUGACAAGUA